GGCGCAUUCGUCUAACGGUUAGGACGCCGCCCUCUCAAGGCGGUAAUACGGGUUCGAUUCCCGUAUGCGCCACCA
rnacentral:tRNA from 1 species